AUGACCUUCGUCACCAUCAUCAUCUGGGCCUUGGCCUUCUGCACCCACAAUUGCAGAGGAGAGAUCAUAUUUACUCAGAGUCCUGCAGUGAAAUCUGCUAUUCCAGGAGACGUGGUCACUCUGAACUGUAAAACCAGCCAGUCGAGUGGGCUGGAUGAUGAUGUAUUCUGGUACAAACUCAAAGCUGGAGAAACUCCCAAGCUCCUGAUUAAAAAGGCAAGCACUCGUCAUUCUGGUACUCCAGAUCGGAUCAGUGGCAGUGGAUCUGGAGCUGAUUUCACCCUGACCAUCAAUGGAGUGCAGGCUGAAGAUGCAGGAGAGUAUUACUGUAAGGGUGUUUACAGUGGCCCAAAGUUCACAUUUGGUGGCGGCACCAAACUUGAUAUUGGAAGGGACGCCGCCCCGACCCUCACAGUCCUGCCCCCCUCCAGCGUGGAGCUGUCCAGCAGGGGGGAGGCCACUCUGACGUGCCUGGCCAACAAGGGCUUCCCCUCGGGUUGGGCGCUGCGCUGGAAGGUGGACGGCACCAGCAAGAGCUCGGGAGCCAGCGGGAGCACCGGGGUCCUGGAGAAGGACGGCCUGUACAGCUUCAGCAGCACCCUGACCCUCUCUGCGGCCGAGUGGGGGAAGGCGGGCUCGGUGACGUGCGAGGCCACCCUGGCCGGCCAGCCCGCAGUGACCGAGACGCUGAGGAGAGCCGACUGCUCCCAGUGAGGCCUGAGAGCAGCGGCACCGUCUCCUUCCACCAGAAAGAGAAUAAAAACCUGCUCUGUUUGCGCCCGCUCUCCCUCCCACCGCUCAGCUAACCAGCGCCGGCCGCGCGGGGAGCCACACUCGCUUGUGUGACUCC